ensembl:lncRNA
CACUGGUUGCCAUGGCAGCACAGCUGCAUCAGGAGGACUUAACGUUGACCAGGAGGCCGGGAGGAAGCGUCUCCUUCAGCUGUCGAGAAACUCGUCAGUGUAGUAGUAACUGGGUCUACUGGUACCAGAAGAAACAAGCAGGAACGUUCAGAGUGAUUCUUGACAUUGGCAAGACAAAUGGAGACAUAGAUAAACGUUACAAUCAUCCUCAGAAAGAUGAUUUCUCAGCUGCAAACAUACAAAACGGCUGUGAGUUACAGAUCAAACAGGUUAAAGUGGAUCACGCUGCCUCCUACUACUGCACCUGUUGGAAGUCUGGUUCCCACAGUGAGACAUGAUUCAUGAAGCCUGAACAAAAAGCAGCAGCUGAACAGACGUCAGACAGGAGGAGACAGUGAAACCUCAGCACAGCUUCACAGCUGAAGCCCUGAGUCUCAACAUGUCUCCACAUCCAGCUUCAGAGUUCUGACCCGAUGCAGGUCCAGUAGCUGCAUGGACUCGCUGCGUGGAGGUGAGGAGAGUCUGAUCUGGGACCUGCUGAUGGAGAAAGAGUCAGGUGGACGACAGCAGGUGGAGCAAAGUGAAGGAGACAACGUCAAAAUAAAAGCCUGGAACAAGGAAGUCAAACACAUGUUGGAAUGUUUACUUGUAAAACAGGAGAGCAUGAAUGAAUGAGGAAUCAUCAGUAAAACCUUCAGUCUGCAGUUAAUGAGACGAUCAGAGACAAACAUGGAGAUAAACAUCAACCAGGUUGAUGGUUUGGAGUCGUUCACCUCAGACACACGUUGAGCAGAGACGGGUUUUUGUUUCACUCUCCGUCACUGUGGGAGCAUAUGGGUACUAUAUCUUUGGUUCUGGAACUGAACUGGUCGUCACAGACGAGCCGGUGCUGAAGCCCGUGGUGAGCGUGUACCCAGCAGCGUCCAGAGGCCUGGAGGCGAGCGGCUCCCUGCUGUGCGUGGCCUCGCACAUGUUUCCUCCUCGAGUCCGCUUCUCCUGGAAGGUCCAGAAGGAGGACGGCUCCUGGGCCGAGCCGAGCCGACCCGAGGAAGAGCAGCUGGAGCUGGAGGAGUCGGGACGCAGCGCCUCCAUCCUGCUCCACGGGCCACAGAGCAGCACCGCUAAAUACCGCUGUGAGGUGCAGCACGAAGGGGGGGCGGCGGAGGCCCGCACGGCUCAAGAGGUUCCGGCUCCAGCGGCCUCGUGUCCUCCAGAGAGAGAAGCAGCAGCGCCGGCAGCUCUGCAGCCGACUGACGAGCUUCCCCUGGACCGGGACCGGGACCGGGACCGGGAGCAGAACCCAUUGGAGCAGCAGCGGGUCAAGCUGCUGUGCGUGUGCUCCACGGUGCUGAUAGUCAAGAGUCUGGUUUAUUGCUGUGGACUCUCUGUGCUGAGGAUCCUCAGGACCGAGCCUCACCUGCUCUGAGCUCCGUUCAGCACCUUUUUAUCGCUUUCACAUUUAUUAGUAUCAGUCCCAGAAUGUUUAGUUUGUUCAGUGACUGUGUUCCACAUCUCUUGUCUUUGUCUUUUCAAUUUAAAUAAAAGUCAGCGUUCCUGAAUAAUUCCUGAAUUA